UACGUAGGUGGCAAGCGUUGUCCGGAUUUACUGGGCGUAAAGGGCGUGCAGGCGGUUUGUUAAGUUCAGGGUGAAAGCUCCCGGCUCAACUGGGAGAGGUCCUUGGAUACUGGCAGACUUGAGGAGGGUAGAGGAGAGUGGAAUUCCCGGUGUAGUGGUGAUAUGCGUAGAUAUCGGGAGGAACACCAGUGGCGAAGGCGGCUCUCUGGGCCGUACCUGACGCUGAGACGCGAAAGCGUGGGGAGCGAACCGG
rnacentral:rRNA from 1 species